rnacentral:lncRNA from 1 species
CUCCGAGCUCGCGCACCGGGAGAAAACGUCAAACUCAAAUGGCCUCGAAAGAACCUACGAUCAUAAACCAAAGGGCAAAUCGACACUGCAAUGAUCGGGAACCCCCAAAUAGCGUCCGCAUCAAACACGACGAAGGCCAAAAGGAGUCCAAUAAAUAACCAGUUAAUACCAGAAUGGGUGAGGUAAUAAGCAAUUUCAUUCUCAUUUCAUUGGUGAAGUGUACAUUGC